GAAAAGAAAAAAAAAAAGUAUAAAUUUUAAAUAAAUAAGUAAAAUAAAUCUAAACCCGUCUCUCUCCAUUUUGUAGAGUGCAGACCAGAACCCGCUCACAAGGUGGACAGGGCUGCUUGUACCAGCGAAGACGGUGUCUACCCGCUACUCGUCAUACCCGACACGCCAGAAAAGCAAGGCAGACAACCGGCUAACACUAAAGAAGCUGACACUGACGGAGGACCAUCUGGAUCCAAAAUUAGCAUACCAGAAGCACCAGAGAAAGCAGUGACUGACGACUCCAGGCCAUACCCCAGACUGAAGCAUUCCACUAGAA